GAUGAACGCUGGCGGCGUGCCUAAUACAUGCAAGUCGAGCGAAUGGAUUAAGAGCUUGCUCUUAUGAAGUUAGCGGCGGACGGGUGAGUAACACGUGGGUAACCUGCCCAUAAGACUAGGAUAACUCCGGGAAACCGGGGCUAAUACCGGAUAACAUUUUGAACCGCAUGGUUCGAAAUUGAAAGGCGGCUUCGGCUGUCACUUAUGGAUGGACCCGCGUCGCAUUAGCUAGUUGGUGGGGUAACGGCUCACCAAGGCAACGAUGCGUAGCCGACCCGGGAGGGGGAUCGGCCACCAUGGGAAUGAGACACGGCCCAGACUCCUACGGGAGGCAGCAGUAGGGAAUCUUCCGCAAUGGACGAAAGUCUGACGGAGCAACGCCGCGUGAGUGAUGAAGGCUUUCGGGUCGUAAAACUCUGUUGUUAGGGAAGAACAAGUGCUAGUUGAAUAAGCUGGCACCUUGACGGUACCUAACCAGAAAGCCACGGCUAACUACGUGCCAGCCGCCGCAGUAA
rnacentral:rRNA from 1 species